AGGAAUGAAAAAUCUGCGGAUU
rnacentral:miRNA from 1 species